CCAUGGAGCCGUCUUCUCCUUGUCCCUUCCUCACUCAUCGUUCGGGGCAUCUGCGGCCCGGACACAUGUCCUCUGCAGCCAAGCUGCCUGAGACCUGCUCUCCUUACAAAAGAAUCCGUUUCCACUAAACCCCUGAGCGUUUCACAUGUCGUCAUUAGAAAGCCUCUUGUUUACUCAUCUUCUUUAGUUUAUUUGCCCAGUCCACAAAAAUAUUUGGUCGGCGUGACUUCCUGUAACCAAAUGUGGGUGCCCAGCCGAAAGGUAUCAAGCCGCCUGUACUUUGAUGAGGCUGUGGCUGGGGCCGACCGCCAUUUUGAAACAAGCACAGACCACAAGAAUGCUGGGCAGGGCCUACCCCCUGCAACUGUAACCAGAUUUCAGCGCCGUGGGACCCAUGAAUCACAGGCGUCUGGAGAGAAGUAUCAAGCAGAACAGGGGAAAAACUCAAUCAUCGUCUUGGAGAGUCGCGAUGCAUGACCCCCUCAGAGCUGCGGAUACCCCAAGAAUGGACAGGAAGGGCUCCAUCCCGGAGGCUCCUGGUUUACCAGCCACAGCGACGGUCUCUGCUCCUGCUCCCAGGCAACAUUCAGAUCUUCAGUGUUUCUUCACAGAGAUUAUUCCCCAGAGGAAGCAGCUUGCCACCUGUUCCUCAGUUUACCCGUGUUCACCUAAAAAAAAAACAAAAACAAGAAAAUCAGCCCUCUUCCUUCUUAACGGAGCCUGAGAUAAAGACAAGUCAGAAGAUGGGCCUGUGUUCCUGCCUCUCUCCAGCAGCCCCGGCUCAGCGAAAACAGCUUCUCUUGCGAGCUGAAACUUACCCAAACGAACCAGGAAUAAAAACUUUUAGAAGCAAACGUAACCUUUGGAGCUGCUUGCAUUUGUACCCUCUUGACGUGUGCCUACAAUGAACGUGGGAGAAGAGAGGAGAGAGCCAAGGUGUCAUGGAAGGGAUUUUAGACAUCAGAGGACUCCAGGUCUGAUCCCAGCUCCGCCAGUGGGCCAUCAGUAUGACCUGAGACCAAGGCUUCCCCUCCCAGACCCCCAUUUCUUUAUCUCAGUGGUGAAAGGUUGAACCAAAUGACCUCCUGUCCUCUGACUCUUAGGGAGCUUCGUCUUUCCGUGGCACCCAUGCUGGUCUGGACAGAACUGGAGGGUGUAGAGUUUGAGCAGCACCUGUGUUUACACUGUACAAUCUGCAGUUUACUGUAAUAAAAUCAUUUAAUACAC